rnacentral:siRNA from 1 species
AUCAAAAGGUUUUGUCUCUCUGAA